rnacentral:rRNA from 1 species
AUACGUAGGGGGCGAGCGUUGUCCGGAUUUACUGGGCGUAAAGGGUGAGUAGGCGGUUAUAUGUGUCAGAUGUAAAAGGCUAUGGCUUAACCCUAGUUAGCAUUUGAAACUGUAUGACUUGGGUGCAGGAGGGGGAAGUGGAAUUCCUAGUGUAGCGGGGAAAUGCGUAGAUAUUAGGAGGAACACCAGUGGCGAAGGCGACUUACUGGACUGUAACUGACGCUGAGUCACGAAAGCGUGGGUAGCAAACAGGAUUAGAUACCCUGGUAGUCCACGCUGUAAACGAUGAGUGCUAGGUGUUGGCCAGCGAUGGUCAGUGCCGCAGUAAACACAUUAAGCACUCCGCCUGGGGAGUACGGUCGCAAGACUGAAACUCAAAGGAAUUGACGGGG